CCUACGGGUGGCAGCAGUGGGGAAUAUUGGGCAAUGGGCGCAAGCCUGACCCAGCAACGCCGCGUGAGGGAAGAAGGCUUUCGGGUUGUAAACUUCUUUUGACAGGGAAGAAUAGACGACGAUGCCUAUCGAGUAAGCCACUGCUAACUACGUGACAGCAGCCUCGGUAAGACGUAGGUGACAAGCGUUGACCGGAUUUGCUAGGGGUAAAGGGCGUGGAUGCGUGUUGACAAUGCAGAUGUGAAAUCCUGCGGCUUAAACGUAGAACUGCAUUUGAAACUGUCGAUCUUGAGUACUGGAGAGGCAGACGGAAUGCCUAGUGUAGCGGUGAAAUGCGUAGAUAUUAGGAAGAACACCAGUGGCGAAGGCGGUAUGCUGGACAGCAACUGACGGUGAGGCGCGAAAGCGUGGGGAGCAAACAGGAUUAGAUACCCCAGUAGUC
rnacentral:rRNA from 1 species